GACGAAUGCUGGCGGCGUGCUUAACACAUGCAAGUCGAACGCUGAAGCUCAGCUUUUGUUGGGUGGAUGAGUGGCGAACGGGUGAGUAACACGUGAGUAACCUGCCCCCUUCUUUGGGAUAACGCCCGGAAACGGGUGCUAAUACUGGAUAUUCACUGGUCUUCGCAUGGGGGUUGGUGGAAAGGGUUUUUCUGGUGGGGGAUGGGCUCGCGGCCUAUCAGCUUGUUGGUGGGGUGAUGGCCUACCAAGGCUUUGACGGGUAGCCGGCCUGAGAGGGUGACCGGUCACAUUGGGACUGAGAUACGGCCCAGACUCCUACGGGAGGCAGCAGUGGGGAAUAUUGCACAAUGGGCGCAAGCCUGAUGCAGCGACGCCGCGUGAGGGAUGGAGGCCUUCGGGUUGUGAACCUCUUUCGCUCAUGGUCAAGCCGCAACAAUGGUUGUGGUGAGGGUAGUGGGUAAAGAAGCGCCGGCUAACUACGUG
rnacentral:rRNA from 1 species